rnacentral:rRNA from 1 species
UACGAAGGGGGCUAGCGUUGUUCGGAAUCACUGGGCGUAAAGGGCGCGUAGGCGGCUUUAUAAGUCGGGGGCGAAAGCCUGUGGCUCAACCACAGAAUUGCCUUCGAUACUGUAGAGCUUGAGACCGGAAGAGGUAAGUGGAACUGCGAGUGUAGAGGUGAAAUUCGUAGAUAUUCGCAAGAACACCAGUGGCGAAGGCGGCUUACUGGUCCGGUUCUGACGCUGAGGCGCGAAAGCGUGGGGAGCAAACAGG